rnacentral:rRNA from 1 species
UUGAACGCUGGCGGCAGGCCUAACACAUGCAAGUCGAACGGUAACAGGAAGCAGCUUGCUGCUUCGCUGACGAGUGGCGGACGGGUGAGUAAUGUCUGGGAAGCUGCCUGAUGGAGGGGGAUAACUACUGGAAACGGUAGCUAAUACCGCAUAAUGUCGCAAGACCAAAGAGGGGGACCUUCGGGCCUCUUGCCAUCGGAUGUGCCCAGAUGGGAUUAGCUUGUUGGUGGGGUAACGGCUCACCAAGGCGACGAUCCCUAGCUGGUCUGAGAGGAUGACCAGCCACACUGGAACUGAGACACGGUCCAGACUCCUACGGGAGGCAGCAGUGGGGAAUAUUGCACAAUGGGCGCAAGCCUGAUGCAGCCAUGCCGCGUGUAUGAAGAAGGCCUUCGGGUUGUAAAGUACUUUCAGCGGGGAGGAGGGGAGUAAAGUUAAUACCUUUGCUCAUUGACGUUACCCGCAGAAGAAGCACCGGCUAACUCCGUG